CAGGCCUAACACAUGCAAGUCGAACGAUAUUUUCCAGCCUGCUGGGAGAUAAAGUGGCGCACGGGUGCGUAACGCGUAACCAACCUGCCCUUGACUGGGGGAUAGCCCGCCGAAAGGCGGAUUAAUACCGCAUGAUACACGAUACCGGCAUCGGUGGCUGUGUUAAAGAUUUAUUGGUCAAGGAUGGGGUUGCGUGACAUUAGCUGGUUGGCGGGGUAACGGCCCACCAAGGCGACGAUGUCUAGGGGAGCUGAGAGGCUGGUCCCCCACACGGGCACUGAGAUACGGGCCCGACUCCUACGGGAGGCAGCAGUAGGGAAUAUUGGGCAAUGGGAGCAAUCCUGACCCAGCCAUGCCGCGUGCCGGAUGAAGGCCUUCUGGGUCGUAAACGGCUUUUGUCGGGGAAGAAUAAGGACUGUGCGCAGUCCGAUGACGGUACCCGGCGAAUAAGCACCGGCUAACUCCGUGCCAGCAGCCGCGGUAAU
rnacentral:rRNA from 1 species